GCAGGCUGCCUCCAGUGAGACCAUGACUUCUGGGUUCCACACCCAGCCCUCCUCCCCCACCCACCUAUUUGUCUCUGGAGCCUUUUCAACAAAGGAACCUCUGGGAAGUCUUGACCAGGUGAGUGGCUGGGGCUCCAGAAAACUUAAGUAACUGACCCAGAGUCACACCGCCAGUAAGCCCCAGGCCCAGGAUUAGAACUCAGAUCGGCCUGACCGCACAGCCUGCGCCUCCAUGACACCUGCCUCCCAUCAUUACUGCCCUGUAGGAGAGAGGAGUGAGACACCAUGGAAAUGAGCACAGCACCUCUGGUGGGAAGUGCUAUGUAUGUGGUAGGUAAGAGUCACCUGGAAGGAAUGCUUACAGGAAACCAGGAGAGAGGCUGCCCUGGCAGCCAGAUGAUGCCUGGUCUGGCCUGGGAAGGUAGCUAGAUUUGGAUGGGGGAGUGGAGAGAGGAAGCCUCUUUAAGUAAGGAGGGGGAUGACAGCCCAGGGUCUGGGAGUCCAGUUAAGUUCUGGGAACAGAGAGGAGACCCAACUGAAGACAAAGGAGGCUGUGGAGACAGGGGAAGACCUCUGUUGAGAAGUCCUGACCCAGAGGGGAGGAGGCCAAACCUGGGUUCUGAGUGAAGUUGUCUACCCGCUGCAGCAAGUGCUCAUGGCUGACGCGGACCCAGGCACACAUACACACAACAUACACUCCUUCUUUGCUCCUCUCAUCACUGUGGCUGCCAGGGGCUGAGACUGUCUCCCAGCAGAUGGGAGCAGUGGCCCGAGGCUCUCCACUCAACCUGAGCCCUUCAUCUGAGGGGCCCAGCUGGGUCACCCCUCUCCCCCCAGGAGGGACUACACAGGACCAAGCCUGCUUUACCUUGGACCACCAGCAGCCCAGCGCCAGCGGUGAGCAGGAUCAGGUAGAUGACCACCACAGCUAGGGAGAAGUUCACCCCAUUUCUCCUCUUGGGCUUUGGAACUGAAACACAAGCCAGGAGGAAGGAGGCUGCUGCAGAGAACACAGCACAGGAAGUCCCUGCCUGCUCCAGGCCCUACUCCAUGUGAGCAGGGGGCACCCUGUGAGGUCAGCUGGGAAAGACACCAAAAGCUCAUGACUCCCAAAUCAUCCCCCAAUCCUCUUUCUUGCCACAAAGCAAAAAUUGCCACUGUUGGUCACUCAUCUGUGUGGCUGGGCAAAUAAACAUCUGUGCCAUAUAUCAUUUGCUGGAAAAGGUGUCAUAUCAACCUUGUUCACUGGUGAAGCCCCAGCAUGGUGCCUGGCCCUGUUGGGUUCUCAAUCUCUGUUUGUGGAAUAAAUUAUGAAUUAAUGUGUUUAAAUUUCAAAACUCUGGGAGGAGGAGGGUUGUUCCCAUUUGGCAAACAAGUAGUGAGACUUGGAG
rnacentral:lncRNA from 1 species